CCUACGGGCUGCAGCAGUGAGGAAUAUUGGUCAAUGGGCGAGAGCCUGAACCAGCCAAGUCGCGUGAAGGAUGACGGCCCUACGGGUUGUAAACUUCUUUUGUCAGGGAGCAAUUGAGUCCACGUGUUGUCUUAGCGAGAGUACCUGAAGAAAACGCAUCGGCUAACUCCGGCCCAGCAGCCGCGGUAAUACGGAGGAUGCGAGCGUUAUCCGGAUUUAUUGGGUUUAGAGGGUGCGUAUGCGGAAUAUCAAGUCAGCGGUAAAAAUUCGGGGCUCAACCCCGUCGUGCCGUUGAAACUGAUGUUCUUGAGUGGGCGAGAAGUAUGCGGAAUGCGUGGUGUAGCGGUGAAAUGCAUAGAUAUCACGCAGAACUCCGGUUGCGAAGGCAGCAUACCGGCGCCCAACUGACGCUGAAGCACGAAAGCGUGGGUAUCGAACAGGAUUAGAUACCCCGGUAGUC
rnacentral:rRNA from 1 species